GGAAUUAAGCAGAAGCAGCCCGCUUCUCGCCUAAGUUGACGUAAUGUCUCUGGGCAGAUAAUGAACGGUUUAAAUCAGGAUAUCUGAUUUAUAGCGGGGGUCUGCAAUGCAGUCCUCCGCUUUUUUCUGCAA
rfam:Lactobacillus rennini DSM 20253 NODE_222, whole genome shotgun sequence.